CCAAUAGCGUAUAUUAAAGUUGUUGCAGUUAAAAAGCUCGUAGUUGAAUUUCGGGGUUAGUAGGUUGGUCAUGCCUCUGGUAUGUACUGGUCUCACUGAUUCCUCCUUCCUGAUGAACCUUAAUGCCAUUAAUUUGGUGUUUUGGGGAAUUUGGACUGUUACUUUGAAAAAAUUAGAGUGUUUAAAGCAAGCUAACGCUUGAAUACAUUAGCAUGGAAUAAUGAAAUAGGACGUUCGAUCCUAUUUUGUUGGUUUCUAGGAUUGACGUAAUGAUUAAUAGGGAUAGUUGGGGGCAUAAGUAUUCAAUUGUCAGAGGUGAAAUUCUUGGAUUUAUUGAAGACUAACUACUGCGAAAGCAUUUGCCAAGGAUGUUUUCAUUAAUCAAGAACGAAAGUUAGGGGAUCGAAGACGAUCAGAUACCGUCGUAGUCUUAACCAUAAACUAUGCCGACUAGGGAUCGGAUGAUGUUAAUUUUUUAAUGACUCAUUCGGCGCCUUACG
rnacentral:rRNA from 1 species